ACGCACGCUGGCGGCGUGCUUAACACAUGCCAGUCGAACGGUGAAGCGCCUUCCUUUUUGGUGGGUGUGGAUGAGUGGCGAACGGGUGAGUAACACGUGAGUAACCUGCCCCCUUCUUCUGGAUAACCGCAUGAAAGUGUGGCUAAUACGGGAUAUUCUGGGUCUGUCGCAUGAUGGGUCUGGGAAAGAUAUUGUUUCGGUGGGGGAUGGGCUCGCGGCCUAUCAGCUUGUUGGUGGGGUGAUGGCCUACCAAGGCGGUGACGGGUAGCCGGCCUGAGAGGGUGGACGGUCACACUGGGACUGAGACACGGACCAGACUCCUACGGGAGGCAGCAGUGGGGAAUAUUGCACAAUGGGCGCAAGCCUGAUGCAGCGACGCCGCGUGAGGGAUGGAGGCCUUCGGGUUGUGAACCUCUUUCGCCAGUGAAGCAGGCCUGCCUCGUUUGUGGGUGGGUUGACGGUAGCUGGAUAAGAAGCGCCGGCUAACUACGUG
rnacentral:rRNA from 1 species